UCGUCACACUAUCGUUAACUGAAUACAUAGGUUAACGAGGCGAACCGGGGGAACUGAAACAUCUAAGUACCCCGAGGAAAAGAAAUCAACCGAGAUUCCCCCAGUAGCGGCGAGCGAACGGGGAGCAGCCCAGAGUCUGAAUCAGCUUGUGUGUUAGUGGAACGGUCUGGAAAGUCCGACGGUACAGGGUGAUAGUCCCGUACACCAAAAUGCACAGGCUGUGAACUCGAAGAGUAGGGCGGGACACGUGGUAUCCUGUCUGAAUAUGGGGGGACCAUCCUCCAAGGCUAAAUACUCCUGACUGACCGAUAGUGAACCAGUACCGUGAGGGAAAGGCGAAAAGAACCCCGGCGAGGGGAGUGAAAAAGAACCUGAAACCGUGUACGUACAAGCAGUGGGAGCACCUUCGGGUGUGACUGCGUACCUUUUGUAUAAUGGGUCAGCGACUUAUAUUCUGUAGCAAGGUUAACCGUAUAGGGGAGCCGCAGGGAAACCGAGUCUUAACUGGGCGUUAAGUUGCAGGGUAUAGACCCGAAACCCGGUGAUCUAGCCAUGGGCAGGUUGAAGGUUGGGUAACACUAACUGGAGGACCGAACCGACUAAUGUUGAAAAAUUAGCGGAUGACUUGUGGCUGGGGGUGAAAGGCCAAUCAAACCGGGAGAUAGCUGGUUCUCCCCGAAAGCUAUUUAGGUAGCGCCUCGUGAACUCAUCUUCGGGGGUAGAGCACUGUUUCGGCUAGGGGGUCAUCCCGACUUACCAACCCGAUGCAAACUACGAAUACCGAAGAAUGUUAUCACGGGAGACACACGGCGGGUGCUAACGUCCGUCGUGAAGAGGGAAACAACCCAGACCGCCAGCUAAGGUCCCAAAGUCAUGGUUAAGUGGGAAACGAUGUGGGAAGGCACAGACAGCCAGGAUGUUGGCUUAGAAGCAGCCAUCAUUUAAAGAAAGCGUAAUAGCUCACUGGUCGAGUCGGCCUGCGCGGAAGAUGUAACGGGGCUAAACCAUGCACCGAAGCUGCGGCAGCGACACUAUGUGUUGUUGGGUAGGGGAGCGUUCUGUAAGCCUGCGAAGGUGUGCUGUGAGGCAUGCUGGAGGUAUCAGAAGUGCGAAUGCUGACAUAAGUAACGAUAAAGCGGGUGAAAAGCCCGCUCGCCGGAAGACCAAGGGUUCCUGUCCAACGUUAAUCGGGGCAGGGUGAGUCGACCCCUAAGGCGAGGCCGAAAGGCGUAGUCGAUGGGAAACAGGUUAAUAUUCCUGUACUUGGUGUUACUGCGAAGGGGGGACGGAGAAGGCUAUGUUAGCCGGGCGACGGUUGUCCCGGUUUAAGCAUGUAGGCUGAUUGUCCAGGCAAAUCCGGAUAAUCAAGGCUGAGGUGUGAUGACGAGGCACUACGGUGCUGAAGUAACAAAUGCCCUGCUUCCAGGAAAAGCCUCUAAGCAUCAGGUAACAUUAAAUCGUACCCCAAACCGACACAGGUGGUCAGGUAGAGAAUACCAAGGCGCUUGAGAGAACUCGGGUGAAGGAACUAGGCAAAAUGGUGCCGUAACUUCGGGAGAAGGCACGCUGGUGUGUAGGUGAAGUCCCUGCGGAUGGAGCUGAGACCAGUCGAAGAUACCAGCUGGCUGCAACUGUUUAUUAAAAACACAGCACUGUGCAAACACGAAAGUGGACGUAUACGGUGUGACGCCUGCCCGGUGCCGGAAGGUUAAUUGAUGGGGUUAUCCGUAAGGAGAAGCUCUUGAUCGAAGCCCCGGUAAACGGCGGCCGUAACUAUAACGGUCCUAAGGUAGCGAAAUUCCUUGUCGGGUAAGUUCCGACCUGCACGAAUGGCGUAAUGAUGGCCAGGCUGUCUCCACCCGAGACUCAGUGAAAUUGAACUCGCUGUGAAGAUGCAGUGUACCCGCGGCAAGACGGAAAGACCCCGUGAACCUUUACUAUAGCUUGACACUGAACAUUGAGCCUUGAUGUGUAGGAUAGGUGGGAGGCUUUGAAGCGUGGACGCCAGUCUGCGUGGAGCCAACCUUGAAAUACCACCCUUUAAUGUUUGAUGUUCUAACGUUGGCCCCUGACCGGGGUUGCGGACAGUGUCUGGUGGGUAGUUUGACUGGGGCGGUCUCCUCCCAAAGCGUAACGGAGGAGCACGAAGGUUAGCUAAUCCUGGUCGGACAUCAGGAGGUUAGUGCAAUGGCAUAAGCUAGCUUGACUGCGAGCGUGACGGCGCGAGCAGGUGCGAAAGCAGGUCAUAGUGAUCCGGUGGUUCUGAAUGGAAGGGCCAUCGCUCAACGGAUAAAAGGUACUCCGGGGAUAACAGGCUGAUACCGCCCAAGAGUUCAUAUCGACGGCGGUGUUUGGCACCUCGAUGUCGGCUCAUCACAUCCUGGGGCUGAAGUAGGUCCCAAGGGUAUGGCUGUUCGCCAUUUAAAGUGGUACGCGAGCUGGGUUUAGAACGUCGUGAGACAGUUCGGUCCCUAUCUGCCGUGGGCGCUGGAGAAUUGAGGGGGGCUGCUCCUAGUACGAGAGGACCGGAGUGGACGCAUCACUGGUGUUCGGGUUGUCAUGCCAAUGGCACUGCCCGGUAGCUAAAUGCGGAAGAGAUAAGUGCUGAAAGCAUCUAAGCACGAAACUUGCCCCGAGAUGAGUUCUCCCUGAGACUUUAAGUCUCCUGAAGGAACGUUGAAGACGACGACGUUGAUAGGCCGGGUGUGUAAGCGCAGCGAUGCGUUGAGCUAACCGGUACUAAUGAACCGUGAGGCUUAACCUU
rnacentral:rRNA from 1 species